rnacentral:rRNA from 1 species
UUUUUUACAACCCGGGAUUGCCUUAGUAACGGCGAGUGAAGCGGCAAAAGCUCAAAUUUGAAAUCUGGUACCUUCGGUGCCCGAGUUGUAAUUUGGAGAGGGCAACUUUGGGGCCGUUCCUUGUCUAUGUUCCUUGGAACAGGACGUCAUAGAGGGUGAGAAUCCCGUGUGGUGAGGAGUGCGGUUCUUUGUAAAGUGCCUUCGAAGAGUCGAGUUGUUUGGGAAUGCAGCUCUAAGUGGGUGGUAAAUUCCAUCUAAAGCUAAAUAUUUGGGGCGGAAGGAGACCGAUAGCCGAAACAAGUACAGUGGAUGGAAAGAUGAAAAGAACUUUGAAAAGAGAGUGAAAAAGUACGUGAAAUUGUUGAAAGGGAAGGGCAUUUGAUCAGACAUGGUGUUUUGUGCCCUCUGCUCCUUGUGGGUAGGGGAAUCUCGCAUUUCACUGGGCCAGCAUCAGUUUUGGUGGCAGGAUAAAUCCAUAGGAAUGUAGCUUGCCUCGGUAAGUAUUAUAGCCUGUGGGAAUACUGCCAGCUGGGACUGAGGACUGCGACGUAAGUCAAGGAUGCUGGCAUAAUGGUUAUAUGCCGCCCGUCUUGAACCCCGGGACCA